rnacentral:rRNA from 1 species
GGCGAUCAGAUACCGCCCUAGUUCUGACCGUAAACGAUGCCAACUAGCGAUCCGCCAGUCGACUCAUCGCUCUGGUGGGGAGCUUCCCGGAAACGAAAGUCUUCCGGUUCCGGGGGAAGUAUGGUUGCAAAGCUGAAACUUAAAGGAAUUGACGGAAGGGCACCACCAGGAGUGGAGCCUGCGGCUUAAUUUGACUCAACACGGGGAAACUCACCCGGCCCGGACACCGUAAGGAUUGACAGAUUGAUAGCUUUUUCAUGAUUCGGUGGAUGGUGGUGCAUGGCCGUUCUUAGUUCGUGGAGCGAUUUGUCUGGUUUAUUCCGAUAACGAGCGAGACUCUGGCCUACUAAAUAGUUGACGCAUUGCCACUGUGCGCACAACUUCUUAGAGGGAUUUUCGGUGUUCAGCCGCACGAAAUUGAGCAAUAACAGGUCUGUGAUGCCCUUAGAUGUCCGGGGCUGCACGCGCGCUACACUGGCAAAAUCAGCGUGCUUGUCCUCCCCCGAAAGGGGUUGGUAAACCGAUGAAAAUUUGCCGUGAUUGGGAUCGGACAUUGCAAUUAUUGUCCGUGAACGAGGAAUCCCUUGUAAGGGCGAGUCAUCAACUCGUCCUGAAUACGUCCCUGCCCUUGUA